GUGUCAUCCACACUUGUGGCCACGUCAACAUCUGAGAACCCUACUAUAUCUAAAUCAUUAGAUGGCUUGAUGUGUAAACAAAAGUUGAAUGUUCCUUUGAGAUAUCUUAGUAUCCUCUUUAUCCCUUGUCGGUGAUUUGUUUUAGGAGAGCUCAUGUAUUGGUUGAGUUUAUUGACUGCAAAGGCAAUAUAAGGCAUUGUGUUUGCCAAAUAUUAUAGUGCACCUAUGGCCUGCCUAUACUUGGUUGGUUCAGCCAUUGGUUCUCCUUCAUUUGUGAACUGUCUUCUUGUUAUCAUAGGUGUUAGACAGGUUGAUGCUUUCUCCAUUUUGAGUUUCACCUAUGUAUUUUGAUUGCCUCAGAUACGUUCCUUUUGCAUCUCUUUGAACUUCAAUACCCAAAAAGUAGUGUAAAUAACCAAGAUCCUUUAUGGAAAACACAAUAUUGAGUUGCUUGAUGAAAAACUCUAAGAACUUGGUGUUGUUUCUUGUCACAAUUAUGUCAUCUGCAUAAAUUAUGUCUCUAUGCAUGAAGAGAGGAGUACCUUUUCACUAGAAGAAAUUUUUGAGAUUGUGUCACUCAAGCUGUGAUGCUUGUGGAAGAAAUGCUCUCACAAUCUCUUUGCGAUGAUUCAUUCGGCUAUUUUCUUCAACCUCCGCAAACCUUUUAAUGAAAUUACAUAUGCGCCUCUCAUUUUCUUAGUCCCGUGUUCUUUCUCCCCAGUCUCGUGCUCUCUUUCAACUCUCCUCCAAAUCUUUAUUCUCCAAAUCAUUCCAAAUCUUCUUUUUACUUUGCUUAGUCUCGUGCAUGAAUCUCUCAAAUCGUUCAAAAUUAUUAUCUCUUCCCUCGUUGCUGCUCUUUGCUCGUUCCCAACUAAAUUGUUUUUUUCUCCAAGUAACCCUAUCUUUUUCUCCAUUAAAUUCUUACUGCAAGAUACUACCCUUUUUUGUUUCUUUUUGAAUUAAACCCUAUUUUGAUUCUAGAUCAAACAUUAUUUUGUUUCUCUAUGGGUUUUACUAUAUUUCUCUUUGUAAUUUUGAUGUGUAUGUUUAUCUUUUUCCCCCUACUCAAUGAUGAAUGUUCCAUGUCAUUAGAACAACCCUGCAGAAUCAUAUUCAACAAACCUUUUUCUACCUAUUUUGUUUUUCAAUGUGUGAAUGUCUUCAACCCUAUCUUUUUCUUCUAUCUUUACAUAACUUUUCCUAUUGUAUGAAAUCUUCACAUGGGGAUGAAAAUCAAGAUUGACACACUUGUGGCAAAGAAAUUCAGAUAAGGGGUGAUGGAAUUUUUAUUGAUGAAUCAACCAUUAGAUAGCCCAAUUUGUGAUCAAGGUGGAGAGUGUGAUCUUCAUGAUCAAUAAUUGGCAUUUGGCUCUAAUCGUGGCCGGUUCACUGAAAUGAAGAUAUCUAUGAUGGACAAAAAUCUUGGGCCUUUCAUGAAGAUUUUGAUGAUGCGGUGCAUUAAAUGUACAAGAUUUGGUGAACAAUUCGGAUACAAUCACAAGUUGAAGGCUCUAGGUGAUUUAAAAGUUGAAUUUGUGUUUGAGCAGAGAUUGUAGUGUCUAUGGUUAUGAGAAAAUGUAUGGAUUCAUCCGUUUUGAGAAAUCUUAUGUGUGAUUCUUUUUUUGUCCUUCAACUUGUUAGAUUAUAGCCUGAUGGUUGAAUGUUUGUUCUAUAACAGUUGGUUUGAUAGAUACAAAUAUACACACUUUGAAUGCUUGAUCGUGUUUAAGUUUAA